rnacentral:tRNA from 1 species
GCAGGUAUGGCGAAAUUUGGUAAACGCGUUAGGUUCCGGACCUAGUGGGCUAUACACCUUGCAGGUUCAAUUCCUGCUAUCUGC